CCCACCUCUCUGCCGUCGCCAGCCGCUCGGUGGAAAAAGCGGCGGCCUUUGCUAAAGCUAACAACUUUCCUCCCGAUGCCAAGAUAUAUGGCUCCUACGAGUCUCUCCUCGACGACCCAGAUAUCGACGCCGUCUAUGUUCCUUUACCCACCAGUCUUCAUGUGAAGUGGGCCUGUUUGGUAGCUCAGAAGAAGAAGCAUAUCUUGUUGGAGAAGCCUGUGGGACUCAAUGUUGGUGAGUUUGACAAAAUUUUGGAUGCUUGCGAGGUUAAUGGAGUGCAGAUUAUGGAUGGUACCAUGUGGAUGCAUAAUCCCAGAACCAAGAAGAUGCGAGAGUUCUUGGCUGAUAAGGAGCGUUUUGGAGAGCUCAGAACGAUACACAGUACUUUUACAUUUGCUGGUGAUGAGGAUUUUCUGAAGAAUGACAUUCGUGUCAAGCCAGAUCUUGAUGGUCUUGGUGCUCUUGGAGAUGCUGGGUGGUAUCCUAUUCGGGCAAUCCUCUGGGCCGCUGAUUAUGAAUUGCCAAAGACUGUUAUAGCCUUGCGUGGACCUGUUUUAAAUGAAGCGGGUGUGAUUUUGGCCUGUGGGGCUUCUUUACAUUGGGAAGAUGGCAAAGUAGCAACAUUGCAUUGCUCUUUUUUAACGCAUUUGACCAUGUUUGUUACUGCAAUUGGAACAAAGGGAACUUUGCACGUUGAUGAUUUCAUCGUUCCUUUUAAUGAGAAGGAAGCCCCUUACACUACAUCUUCAAAAUCUUGGUUCAAUGAACUUGUGACAGGGUGGGAACCGUUGCCAAGCCAGAACAUGGUCUUCGUAGAUCUCCCUCAGGAAGCUUGCAUGGUGAGAGAAUUUGCUAGGUUGGUUGGAAAUAUCAAGGUGAAUGGUGCAAAACCUGACCAAACGUGGCCAACUCGCAGCAGGAAGACACAACUCAUACUGGAUGCAGUAAAGACAUCAAUUGAGAGAGGUUUCGAGCCUGUUGAGAUUGCGAAUUGAUUGAGGCUUAUCCUGCCUGUAAGUGUCUGUUUAUUUGAUUCAGAAUUCUCUUUGGUGCAAGCAAGGUUGUUGUUGUUGUUGUUGUU
rnacentral:misc_RNA from 1 species